GACAGAGGGUGCAAACGUUGUUCGGAAUUACUGGGCGUAAAGCGCGCGUAGGCUGCUUUGUAAGUUAGAGGUGAAAGCCCGGAGCUCAACUCCGGAAUUGCCUUUAAGACUGCAUCGCUAGAAUCAUGGAGAGGUUAGUGGAAUUCCGAGUGUAGAGGUGAAAUUCGUAGAUAUUCGGAAGAACACCAGUGGCGAAGGCGACUAACUGGACAUGUAUUGACGCUGAGGUGCGAAAGCGUGGGGAGCAAACAGG
rnacentral:rRNA from 1 species